GAAGCAGGAUGAAUAAACGCGGAAACGCAAGUUUCUGAGGAAAGUCCGUACCUCUAAAGGGAAGGGCGCAGGCUAACGGCCUGACGGUGUGAACCGAUGGAAAGUGCAGCAGAAAAUAUACCGCCGGAAACGGUAAGGGUGAAAUGGUGCGGUAAGAGCGCACCGCGCACGGAGUGAUCCGCUGCGGCAGUGCAAACCCCGCCCGAGGCAAGGUCAAACAGAGCUUUGGUACCCUUUCUUACACGCUCAGGUAGACCGCAAAGAUAAAUGUUUAUUCGCGACAGAAUGCGGCUUAUAGUCCUGCUUCUUUU
rnacentral:RNase_P_RNA from 1 species